rfam:Branchiostoma floridae genomic scaffold BRAFLscaffold_174, whole genome shotgun sequence.
ACCCCGGCCCUUUUCAGGGCCACCCACAUCUUCUCGAAAGAACCGU